rnacentral:rRNA from 1 species
AGCGAACGUUUGCGGCGGGCUUAACACAUGCAAGUCGAACGAGAAUCCCUUCGGGGAGGAAAGUGGCGCACGGGUGCGUAACACGUGGAUAACCAACCCAUUGGUUUGGGACAACACCGGGAAACUGGUGCUAAUACCAGAUGUGUCGCAGCUGUCUUCAGGCGGUUGCGAGAAAGGCCCGCAAGGGUCGCCAACGGACGGGUCCGCGUCCCAUCAGCUAGUUGGUGAGGUAAUGGCUCACCAAAGGCAAAGAACGGGUAGGCUGGUCUGAGAGGAUGAUCAGCCACACUGGAACUGAGACACGGUCCAGACUCCUACGGGAGGCAGCAGUGGGGAAGUAUUGCGCAAUGGGCGGAAAGACCUGACACAGCCAUGCGCCGUGUGUGAAGAAGGACCUAC